UUACGGCCAUAUAACGUUGAAACGUCGGUUCCCAUACGAUCACCGAAGUUAAGCAACGUCGAGCCUGGUCACUAACUAGAUGGGUGACCGUUUGGGAAUACCAGG